rnacentral:rRNA from 1 species
UACGGAGGGUGCAAGCGUUAUCCGGAUUCACUGGGUUUAAAGGGUGCGUAGGUGGGUUGGUAAGUCAGUGGUGAAAUCUCCGAGCUUAACUUGGAAACUGCCAUUGAUACUAUCAGUCUUGAAUAUUGUGGAGGUCAGCGGAAUAUGUCAUGUAGCGGUGAAAUGCUUAGAUAUGACAUAGAACACCAAUUGCGAAGGCAGCUGGCUACACAAAUAUUGACACUGAGGCACGAAAGCGUGGGGAUCAAACAGG